rnacentral:rRNA from 1 species
CCUACGGGAGGCUGCAGUGAGGAAUAUUGGUCAAUGGGCUUACGCCUGAACCAGCCAAGUCGCGUGCGGGAAGACUGCCCUAUGGGUUGUAAACCUCUUUUGUCAGGGAGCAACGCCGGCUACGUGUAGCCGGACUGAGAGUACCUGAAGAAAAAGCAUCGGCUAACUCCGUGCCAGCAGCCGCGGUAAUACGGAGGAUGCGAGCGUUAUCCGGAUUUAUUGGGUUUAAGGGGUGCGUAGGCGGAAUGCCAAGUCAGCGGUAAAAUCGCGGGGCUCAACCUCGCUCCGCAGUUGAAACUGGCGUGCUUGAGUGGGCGAGAAGUAUGCGGAAUGCGUGGUGUAGCGGUGAAAUGCAUAGAUAUCACGAAGAACUCCGAUUGCGAAGGCAGCAUACCGGCGCCCAACUGACGCUGAAGCAAGAAAGCGUGGGUAUCGAACAGGAUUAGAUACCCCAGUAGUC